UUCAACUAUAUAUUCAUAAAGCUUAAUAUUAGGCAUUGGCAAACAAAAUUAAAAAUAUGGAGAGAUUUAUUGCCAUUGUAGAUAUGUCCAACAGGUUCCGAGGUCAAUCCCUCACUUCAUGUGCAAAACAUGUUAAUGGUAAUGUUGCAGAACAAAGUGUGGGUGGAAAUGAAACAGGAAACACACAAGGACCAGUGUUACAUGAAACAAGAGCUAAAACAGCAACACCUCCAGUGAAACCAGCUUCUCCUAAGACUGGUUGAAUUAUUAAUUACUCAUAUCGUCCUGAUUUAUGUUAUGUAAUUUGACUUAUUAUAAAAUUUAAUAAAUAAAGAAAAAUCUAUAAAUAAAGUUUUCUUAAAUGGAGUGGUUAAAAUAAAUCUACAAAUAUAAAUAUUGAGUUUGUUAUAUUCUGAAAAAGUUUACUUGUAUUUUUCUCAAUUUAUAUACCUAUAGUAUUUG